GACGAACGCUGGCGGCGUGCUUAACACAUGCAAGUCGAACGGAAAGGCCCUGCUUUUGUGGGGUGCUCGAGUGGCGAACGGGCGAGUAACACGUAAGUAACCUGCCCUUGACUUUGGGAUAACUUCAGGAAACUGGGGCUAAUACCGGAUAGGAGCUCCUGCUGCAUGGUGGGGGUUGGAAAGUUUCGGCGGUUGGGGAUGGACUCGCGGCUUAUCAGCUUGUUGGUGGGGUAGUGGCUUACCAAGGCUUUGACGGGUAGCCGGCCUGAGAGGGUGACCGGCCACAUUGGGACUGAGAUACGGCCCAGACUCCUACGGGAGGCAGCAGUGGGGAAUAUUGCACAAUGGGCGGAAGCCUGAUGCAGCAACGCCGCGUGCGGGAUGACGGCCUUCGGGUUGUAAACCGCUUUCGCCUGUGACGAAGCGUGAGUGACGGUAAUGGGUAAAGAAGCACCGGCUAACUACGUG
rnacentral:rRNA from 1 species